AGGAUGAACGCUGGCGGUCUGCUUAACACAUGCAAGUCGAACGGGCGUAGCAAUACGUUAGUGGCGGACGGGUGAGUAACGCGUGAGAAUCUACCUUCAGGACGGAGACAACAGUUGGAAACGACUGCUAACCCCCGAUGUACUGAAAAGGCAAAUAUUUAUAGCCUGAAGAAGAGCUCGCGUCCGAUUAGCUAGUUGGAGAGGUAAAAGCUCACCAAGGCGACGAUCGGUAGCUGGUCUGAGAGGACGAUCAGCCACACUGGGACUGAGACACGGCCCAGACUCCUACGGGAGGCAGCAGUGGGAAUUUUCCGCAAUGGGCGAAAGCCUGACGGAGCAAGACCGCGUGGGGGAAGAAGGCUCUUGGGUUGUAAACCCCUUUUCUCUGGAAGAAGUUGUGAAAGCAGCCUGACGGUACCAGAGGAAUCAGCAUCGGCUAACUCCGUGCCAGCAGCCGC
rnacentral:rRNA from 1 species